GCCCUGGUGGUGUAGCCCGGCCUAGCAUCAGCGGCUGUCGCCCGCUGGACGCGGGUUCAAAUCCCGCCCAGGGCGCCA
rnacentral:tRNA from 1 species